rnacentral:rRNA from 1 species
GAUGAACGCUGGCGGCGUGCCUAAUACAUGCAAGUAGAACGCUGAAGGAGGAGCUUGCUCUUCUGGAUGAGUUGCGAACGGGUGAGUAACGCGUAGGUAACCUGCCUGGUAGCGGGGGAUAACUAUUGGAAACGAUAGCUAAUACCGCAUGACAACAGUUAUUGCAUGAUAACUGUUUAAAAGGGGCAACUGCUCCACUACCAGAUGGACCUGCGUUGUAUUAGCUAGUUGGUGAGGUAACGGCUCACCAAGGCGACGAUACAUAGCCGACCUGAGAGGGUGAUCGGCCACACUGGGACUGAGACACGGGCCAGACUCCUACGGGAGGCAGCAGAAGGGAAUCGUCGGCAAUGGACGGAAGUCUGACCGAGCAACGCCGCGUGAGUGAAGAAGGUUUUCGGAUCGUAAAGCUCUGUUGUAAGAGAAGAACGAGGGUGAGGGUGGAAAGUUCACACUGUGACGGUAUCUUACCAGAAAGGGACGGCUAACUACGUG